AGUAACGCUGGUACUUACCAACAACCGCCUCCCCCACCACCUCAGCAGUAUCCAGGAGCAGGUGUAUAUUUAUAUGCUCCCGCUCCUCCACCACCAAAUCAAGGAAAUGGACAGCCUGGUUCUCAGCCAUAUGCAGGAUAUCGACAGCCUGUAAGUAUUAGGCCACUUCCAGACUGAUGCUAUUUUUGGAUGGGGU